rnacentral:lncRNA from 1 species
UACUUUAUUAUAGUGAGGCAGAGAAUUCACCAGAUUGGGAACAGUUUUACUUUUUUUCAGCUUUCUGCCUUUUCUCUGUGGCUUUGAUUGCUCUCAGGUGACCUGUAGCAUUCUGUUUUGGGGGAGAUUGCCUGCAUUACUAAUAGCUUAGGGGGCCUUUUUGUGUUCUAUUAGCCCUCCUGUAAGUGCGUGCAGUUUGCAGGCCUGUCACAGCGAGAACACUGGCGAGUGAGGCCCUCACAGGAGGAUCUCAGACGCUAUAGCACCAGGCUUUGAAGCAGAUCUUCUGAUUCUG